CUGCACUCGCAGUAGGAGACCUGAGCACCUAUAGGCUAGCCUGCAAUGCGCCAUCAGGCGCGAUUGCGGUUGUCUCCCUGUUCCAGAUGAUCCAUGCGGGCAGUCAUGUUCCCCAUUUGGGGUUCUGGACAUGUUCCCCAUUUGCAAACUUAACUGAGUGAACAUGUCCAGAACCCUCUCUUUUAUGGUUACUUGUAACACCCCGCUCAUCGUGUGCUUAAUUAAUUUGAAAAAUCCUAUUUGUUUGGACCUUUAGGCUGCAUUGAACUCAUUUAAUUUACACUGCAUGUUAUUUAUCAUAAAUUGUGAAUCUUACCAAUUUUUAAUUAUUUUGAUUUUAUUUAAUUUUUAAUUAUUUUUAUUUAUUUCUAAUUUAAUUUCAUUUAUGUUAUUUAUUUAUUUAGAAAAAAAUCGAAAAUUCAAAAAAACGGCAAAAUGGGAAAAUCUCGCUGGGAUGGAUAACAACCCACGCGGGAUGCCUCCACAUUGUGCGCGCACGCAUGCGCACAGCACGCACGUCCCAUCUACUCGUGUGGUGCAGGGCCAAAUCCUACGCUCGAC
rnacentral:lncRNA from 1 species